rnacentral:rRNA from 1 species
UACGUAGGGUGCGAGCGUUGUCCGGAAUUAUUGGGCGUAAAGAGCUCGUAGGCGGUGUGUCGCGUCGGCCGUGAAAACCUGCAGCUUAACUGUGGGCGUGCGGUCGAUACGGGCAUCACUGGAGUUCGGCAGGGGAGACUGGAAUUCCUGGUGUAGCGGUGAAAUGCGCAGAUAUCAGGAGGAACACCAGUGGCGAAGGCGGAACUCUGGGCCGGAACUGACGCUGAGGAGCGAAAGCGUGGGGAGCGAACAGG